rnacentral:lncRNA from 1 species
GGGACGUCUGUUUCCAACUCGACGUUUUAGCAGGAGAAGAAGGCCUCGUUCUAAUACAACACUUACACUUACAAUUGCUUUUGAUGCAGCCGUUAGAUUAGAUCCAAUAGUGUUCUCACGUAACGUUUGCACAUAAGCGUUCUCACCUGAUCCAAACCGUUCUUGAUCACGCUUUCUCAAGGCAACAACUCACAUGGCC